GGGCUUGACAUCCCACGAACCUGUAGAGAUGCAGGGUGGCUUCGGCCAACCGAAGACAGGUGGUGCAUGGUUGUCGUCAGCUCGUGUCGUGAGAUGUUGGGUUAAGUCCCGCAACGAGCGCAACCCUUGCCCCGUGUUACUAACAGGUCAAGCUGAGGACUCUCGGGGGACUGCCGGCGUCAAGCUGGAGGAAGGCG
rnacentral:rRNA from 1 species